AUUUGAUUGCGACACUAACACAAGUUUCUUCUGGCAAGAAUAUGACCAAUCAGCUCUCCCAGAUAACCCUGUCAGCAUUUCUCCCUCAAUCAAUUGAUGCAAAGCAAGACAGAUCAUUCCCCUCUCUGCUGUACGACUUGCUUGGCGGAGAGGAGAGGAGAGGAGAACAGUGAAAGGCUGCUUAGAUACGAAAACGAAUGGAACCUUGGAUCUAUGCUCAAGAGCAUUAAAGGCUACUUUAUACCCUGUGACAUAUUCAAAAAAAGAACCAGCUCAGCUCUUUUUUCCCAGGGUCGUGGAAUCAAGAACUGGAGGCCAGAAGUCUAAGAUUUCCAGGAACUUAUUUAGAUCAUCUUGGAAUCCAUCUUCUCAGCUCAAGCCCAGACUGCAGCCAAAGUGCCCAGAGACGGCAAUAUCUAAAGCGGCUCGCCAUCUAGCAGUUAAUGCUUUAACAGAUUACUAGGCUUCUUCGGUGCCAUGCCAGGGGUGGCAGUGGCUCCAAGAAGAAUAAUUGUUGCACUGUCAUCUCUCUCCAUGGAAAACAACCAGGCUCCACCUGUGUCAACUAUGAGACAUGCAGAUCAUGGUGAGGUUUUUGAGAUCCAGAGCUGGAUGAGAUCAUUCUCAAAUUCCACUGGAGAGAUUAAUGAAGACCUGGACAUAGACAUUUACAGAGCUCAAUGUUGCUACUUGAACUAAUUGAAGUAGCAAAGUUGAAGACUAAUUGAAGAAUUGUCUAUGAGUUAUUUAAGUUUUAGCUAAGGACCAAAAAAUAUUCAGCCUUACACUGAAGUGAUGAUUUCAAGAUAAUGCCAUCAAUUGAAUUGAAUUGACUUUAUUACUUACAUCCUUCAUUUCCAUGAGAAGUAAAAUUUAACUCAGUGAUAUCAUUACUACUGUAUCUUAGAGUAAGCUGGCUGUGGAUUGCCCUUGAUGCUCGAGCAGCUUCAACCAAGUGUGACAUGGGGAAGCACUAGUUAGACCAAAGUUGAUGGGCAUCGAUGGAAAAAUGUCACAAUGGUUGGAGUUGCAACUUACACAAAUGUAAAUUGUUGCAGUUUUUGAAGGUCAAUAACCACAGGAGUUAAUGCAGGAGUUCCUCAGGGCUGUGUCCUAGACCAAACCAUCUUGGGCUGCUUCACCAAAGACCUGCCUUACAUUGUGUCAGAAAUAGCUUCUGUUCACAACUCCUCAAAAAAUGAAGUACAUGCACACAGGCAAUAUACAGGCAUGUACUGACAACUAGUACGCAGCAUGAGUAAUGCCCAUUCAACAGAACUGCCAGGGAAUAAUCAUCUCCAACAAGGAGAUUAACCAACUACUUUACCAUUCAAUGGAUUUACCAUUGCUAAGUCCAUCCUCCUUUCACUACAGUAUGCACCACGUACUAAACGCUCUGCAGUUACUCCCAUAGCCCUUCCUAAUCACGUAACCUCUGCUAUCUAGAAGAACAAGGUGCAUGUGAACACCAGUGCCUGUUCUAUUUCUUUCUAUUUGGGCCUCUGUCCAAUCAAUUUCAGGAGGGUGCUGCAUAAGUUUGGGGCUGAGAUCAGGGAGUUGGAGUAGGAGCUAACUGAAGCUCGUAUUUGAUGUGUCAGGUGGAGUUGAAGGACUAGGUAACCAAUGGGUAGGGAAAUAAAAAGGGGAACCUCUCUGUGUUAGAAGGAGCACUUUCCCAGCACAGGAGCAAUGUGCUUCAAGUGUCCACUGGCAAGUCAUUGAGUUAGAGAAUAACACAGCAUGGAAGCAUGUCCUUCUGCCCAAAUUAUCCAUGCUGACAAACAUGCUGGUCUGAUUUCCCUGCAUUUGACCCAUAUUCCUCCAAAAGUACAGGUAUGCAAACAUUUUUUUUUAAAUAAGUUCCUCUUAAAUUAGAAGACUGAAACAACCAGUGAAACCAACCAGCGUAAUUGUAUUUCGUAAAUGACACAUUCAGGCCAAUAGAAAGUUGGUCAAAGUUAUGUUUCAGAUUGACAAUCCGGGUGGUUAAGUUAAUAUAGUUUCACUUAGGUAAGUUAAUUCAGUUUCAUUCUUGCUUCAGACUUUACCUAACUGGAGAGGCGAACCUUCGAAGAUUGUGGCUGAGUUAUUAACAGUUCAGACAAAACUGUGGACAAGUAAUAUUUGCUUUUAUUAGUAACAGUAAUUUGAAAACUGUCAAUUGACACACGUAUUUUAAGAAAAAAGACAGGAUUUUGGCUUAGCUCAAAUGUUGUGGAGAUUAAAUCAUAUCGAUAAAUGUUUUACCUCAGUAAUUAUUGGUUUAUUUUCAGUACGCGCCGUUGGAGCCCUGUGGUUCAUUGCUCCCAUCCAGGAAUGUGAUUAGUUUGGUUUGCAGGGUCAGCUGCUUAAACAGGUGAAAAUGGGGGUCUGUGACUGCCCAUGUAAAUGGCAAGCCCCAGGCACAGCUGGGUAGAAGGUCAGAGACCUUGGGAACAGCUGGGAUGAAGGUCUGAGGCCUCCCUACACCGCCCCCCACCCAACAACAGGAGAACAUUGCAACAGAGGCACGAUAUUGCAAAGUUCACAAUUUCUGCAUUAUUGCAAUUUAUGUUAGGUCUGUGUUCACAUUGUAGUGCUGGAAACACCAGCGUAGCAUGAAUGAAUUGUAAAGUCAUUGUUUGUCUCAUGUCAACCAGGGUUAAAAACGUGUCAAUGACUGCAUUAUGAUACGAUAUGCAUUCAGGAUCCAGGGUGUUCCUGUUCACUCUAUCCUGUUCCCAACUUUAUCUCCCUCUGUGGAAUUUUGUACACUAAAGAUUCCCGGGUAAAUUUUUUUAAAAAUUAAAGGCCAUGCAUCUAUGGCAAAACACAAAUAUAUGGAAGUUCCAUAAAAGUAAGUCAUACUGUCGUACAAACUCUGCUUGUAAAGUGAUUAGAGUGGGUUUUCUGUCAGCAGCUCCUGAAAUAUAUUACAGCAAAACUUCCGUCAGUAUAACACAUUGUGAAUAUUUAGAAGCUGCUGGCCCUCUAUUUGAUGGAUAAAGACCAUUAUAAACUUAUAACAUUAGAUAGCACAAGUUACUCAUUCCUAAUAAGCAUUUAUUAAAAUUAUUUUGAAUGUAAUGUUACAAUUGCUGCUGCUGUCCACAUUUUCUCUCUUUGAACUAGCUAAAUCCUUCAGGCCAUUGUUUCAGAAAUGUGAAAUGCUUCACUGAGGUUAAUGAUUUUUUAGCUUAAUUACACUGAUGAAUUUAUAAUAAUAUAUCAGAUAUUGUAAAACAAACUCAUGCCUAAUGCAAUGCUACGAUGACCAAAAAUAAAUAUUCUGAUGGAAUAACUAAACAACAAACUUGGUUCUUUAAAUCUGUCUGCUCAAGAUUUUCUUUCAUAUAUUUUCAGAAACAUUAUCAGAAAAUGAAUCAAUUUAAAGUGCAAUGAAUCAAACUGUGCCAGAACAGAUGAUAUAGCCUUGAAAAUUAGUAGUAUCUUAUUGCUACAUUAGACAAAAUAGUUGAAAAUUAGUCACAGACUAAUGCACAAUUCUGCUACCAAUUAUUUUAUUUCACACAAUUAGAUGCCAAGACAGCAGCAGCAGGGUGGUUAUCUAUAAGAAGGCCUUAUGGUCUUAUACAUUUUAUUUACAAGCCUCUGGAAAUAAAUGCUUUUUGAAUUUUAUUUUCAUUUUUCAAACAUACUGUUUAUGAAAACUAAGUAAAAAUCACAGCUGCAAGUCCUGGGGAUAAAGCAGUAGUAUUUCAAAGAGUGUUGCAAUUGCAAGAAGUGUACACAGUGGCCGACUGUUUAAUAUGUACACUGUGGAGUCUUGAUGUGUACUUUGUAUUUUGCAAAAUGUUGGUUUGCUUGUAAAAUUGAACUUCAAUCAUUGAAAUUCUGAGUAAACUUGUUGCAGCAAAACAAUAUGUUGUACUAAAUGGUAGAGAACUUGAAAAAAAAUUUAAACGUGCUUAGCAAUAGUACUGGAAGCUGGGAAGUAAAAACAAAUCUAAUUUUAUGCACAAAGAUGAACUUGCAGGAAAAAUAAGUUUGCAGUUACAGAACAUCUUUCAUCUUCUCGUGUCUCUCCAAAACAUUUAUUAAAGGUAUAUCUUGAACCGAUAAUUACCUAUUGUUCAGAAGACAAGUACAGCUGUCAGUUUCUACACAGCAAAGUCCCGCAACAGCAAAUUAAUGAAUUACUGAAUAAUCUCUUCACGAAUGUCUUGCUUAAGGGAGGAAUGUUAACAAAUAUAUAUACCGGCAAUUUACUUGUUCUUCAAAUAAUGUCCAGAGUUUUUUAUACCUAAAUGACGAGGGGAUUUAUAUGUCUCAGUUUAAUAUCACAUCCAAAAAUCAGUUCAUUUUUAUGAUAUUCCUCAAUACUACCAAAGCAGAAUUUGAGUAUUUCUGCUGGGGUGAGAUUAAACUUAUAACUAAUGCAUCUCAAAGAGCCAAAUGAAGCUUUGUAAAAUAAAUAAAAUGAGGAACAAGAAGGAAAAACAAGGGACACUUACUACAAUAUGGUAGAAAUAAAUUGAGAUGAUAUCUUUAUUGGAGACUAUGUCAUGAAAUAUUAUAUUUUGAAAAUCUGAGACUGAAUGCUUCUAAAGUUAGCUAGAAAUAUAUUGUAUAUUAAAGUACAAACUACAAACUAUCUUGGAAAGUCAAGUUAUAUUAACCUGUCUAGUUUUGCAAAUACUGUAAAUUUGGAUUUAUUUGUUCAAUGAAUAUCAAACAGUACAAUUCCCUCUAGACUGUGUCAACAAAACAUUGUUCACCUUUCACACAACAUCAGGUUUGAAAUAUGUUCUCAAUUACCAGUAAAUCUGGGGCUAGUCCCUCUGUCACCUAAACAAAUCCUUAGACAAAUUGGUUUGGUUGUUUUCAAUGGUUCCACAUCACAAUAACCAAAAUAUAAGUGAGGAUAAAAAUGUGUACCAGUGUGGCAGUGGAUGUACUUUUAAGAUCUGAAAUGAAGCCAAGUUGAGGAAGAGAUUAUCAAAAUGAUUCUUUAUGUUUUGAAGCAGAGAUUCUUUGAAUGCAUGUAAAGAAUGUCUGCCCUUUCUCUUUAGAUUAGAACUACUUGUCAAAUUUAGUCAUGUGAGUCGGACUUCAACAAGUGUGAAAUAAUCCUAUUUUAAAAUACCACAAAUUUGUUAUUUAUAAGAGCUUGCUGAUAAACUCUGUGGAUAUAAAAUAUUAGUUUGAGAUUGUAUACCUUUUGUUCUGCUAAAAUUGUCCAUGAACAACUUAGCCUAAUUAUAAGGUCACUAUCACAGACAGGGGAUGGAUCACUAAUUUUCAUUAUAAUAUGAUAAAUUUAAAAUAUAGCCUAAAACAUACACUGAUGAAGAAAGUGUUUGGCUUUUCUCUCUUUCUCUCUCUCUCUCUCACACACACACACACACACACACACACACAGAAUGCUGAGAAAAAUAUUCAUAUUCAUAUGCUGAUGCCCCAAAGAUCUUCACAUGCUUGAAUUAUUUUAGAGAUCUCUGCAAUACAUGGGAGAAUGCUACAGCCAUUUUGUACGCACCCUUCACUUUCACAGAGAGGGAAUCAAAGAAGGAAAAUCUUCUUGGUCUGUUUUUAUUCGGCCUCUGCUGUUUGGCUUUGUCAUAGACGGGAGAAUGUUUCAAUACAGGAAAGGAUAUGGAUACUGUAAUCUAUGGAAAAGAAAAUAUUUUGUGAAUUUCCACACUUAAGAAAAAAAUUUCAGCAUUUUAAAAUUGUUAAAUAGUAAUUAGGUAUUAACUAAGAGCAAAACGUAUUGUAGGAAUUGAUGUUACAUUGAAGUAUAGAAUGCUGAAUAUGUGAACUUCCAUGUUAUAUUAUGGUGUUAACAGGUUUAUUUUAUGGUCACAGAUUACCAGCAUAUAAACCAUGCCGGCUAAUCCACUGCCUACUGACUAAAAUGUAAUAGGAUCUACAGCAGU